rnacentral:rRNA from 1 species
UACGGGGGGGGCCAGCGUUGUUCGGAAUUACUGGGUGUAAAGGGUUCGUAGGCGGUGCGGCAAGUUGGGAGUGAAAUCUCUGGGCUUAACCCAGAGACGGCUUCCAAAACUGCUGUGCUUGAGUGUGAGAGAGGCUCGUGGAAUUGCAGGUGUAGCGGUGAAAUGCGUAGAUAUCUGCAGGAACACCCGUGGCGAAAGCGGCGAGCUGGAUCACUACUGACGCUGAGGAACGAAAGCUAGGGGAGCAAACAGG